rnacentral:rRNA from 1 species
AUUGAACGCUGGCGGCAUGCCUUACACAUGCAAGUCGAACGGUAACAGGUCUUCGGAUGCUGACGAGUGGCGAACGGGUGAGUAAUACAUCGGAACGUGCCCGAUCGUGGGGGAUAACGAGGCGAAAGCUUUGCUAAUACCGCAUACGAUCUACGGAUGAAAGCGGGGGAUCUUCGGACCUCGCGCGGACGGAGCGGCCGAUGGCAGAUUAGGUAGUUGGUGGGAUAAAAGCUUACCAAGCCGACGAUCUGUAGCUGGUCUGAGAGGAUGAUCAGCCACACUGGGACUGAGACACGGCCCAGACUCCUACGGGAGGCAGCAGUGGGGAAUUUUGGACAAUGGGCGAAAGCCUGAUCCAGCCAUGCCGCGUGCAGGAUGAAGGCCUUUGGGUUGUAAACUGCUUUUGUACGGAACGAAAAGCCUCUUUCUAAUAAAGAGGGGUCAUGACGGUACCGUAAGAAUAAGCACCGACUAACUACGUG